UGGAAGGGAAUACAGCCCCGCGCGAGGGACCCAGCAGAGACCCGGCCGCGGGGCGGGCUCAGGCACUAAUAACACCUCACUGCCCAAUGGAAAGCGUUUCCUAUCGAGACCCCCAAGAGUUCCCCCUGCCCACAGACCCUGCCCAGACAUUGGGCCCAUUCUUGUGUCCCGUUUCCCAAGACAUGAUGGCUGCAGCAUUCAGCAGUUUUGUUUCCUCUCCGAACAAAGGAAGGCAGACAACUGCCAGCCGCUUUGCAUUUUGAAGAUGAACGGGUGAACUUUCACAAAGCCGAGCACGCAGAUCUUCCUUGUGGGACUAGCUCGGCUUGUGCUACACGCACAAAAAAGGAUAAAUGUGGGCUGUCAGGGAGGAAUCGGGCUGAAAUCUGCCGAGCCGUGGGCAUGAUCUCAGCCCCGGCCCCGCUGCCGUGGACAAAAGGACUUGCAACAGAGACAUGGUAGCAAGGUGUGAAGCAACCUUCCUGGAAUGUGUUUCUUCAGGAAGAGAAGAGAUCACUGCCUUAUUUUAUGGAUGUCACUGAAGUAGACUUUGAACUUCUUUGGAAACACGCCACAAACUUGGCAUGGGAAACCACAGCAACAAUCAUACCUGUUUGACAGAUGAUUCCUUUAAGUACAACUUGUAUGGAGCUGUGUACAGCGUGGUCUUCAUCCUUGGUUUGAUUACUAACUGUGCCUCCCUCUUUGUUUUCUGCUUUCGGAUGAAAAUGCGAAGUGAAACAGCCAUUUUCAUGACAAACUUGGCUGUUUCAGAUUUGCUUUUUGUGUUCACAUUGCCUUUUAAAAUUUUUUAUAAUUUCAACAGGCACUGGCCUUUUGGAGAUAGCCUGUGCAAGAUCUCCGGUACAGCAUUUCUCACUAACAUCUAUGGGAGCAUGCUGUUCCUCACCUGCAUUAGUGUUGACCGUUUCCUUGCUAUCGUUUAUCCAUUCCGAUCUCGCACCAUUAGGACCAGGAGAAAUUCUGCCAUAGUCUGUGCUGGUGUUUGGAUACUGGUCCUCAGCGGUGGAAUUUCAGCUUCAUUGUUCUCCACAACCAAUGUUUCCAACACCAGCACAACCUGUUUUGAAGGUUUUUCCAAACGUAUCUGGAAAACCUAUCUGUCUAAGAUCACUAUAUUUAUUGAAGUGGUAGGAUUCAUAAUUCCUUUGCUACUCAACCUUACAUGCUCUUCUUUAGUUCUCAGGACUCUCCGGAAACCUGCCACCUUGUCUCAGAUUGGGACAAACAAAGAGAAAGUAUUGAAAAUGAUCAUUGUGCACGUGGCCAUUUUUGUUGUGUGCUUUGUGCCUUACAAUUCCAUACUCUUCUUGUAUGCUCUUGUGCGUUCCCAAGCAAUAGCAAAUUGCUCCUUGGAGAGGUUUGCGAGGACAAUGUACCCAAUCACACUGUGCAUUGCAACAAUGAACUGCUGCUUUGACCCAUUCAUCUAUUACUUUACAUCAGAAUCCUUCCAGAAGUCCUUCAACAUAAAGACCCAGAUAAAAAUGGAUUCUCUUUUCAAGACUGAGACACCUUUAACAAAGACUGCACUACCAGCACCACAGGAUGAAAUAAGUGACCAGGCUAUUACAAAUGGAGGAGACCCAACAUCUGAAUCGCAUUUCUAGUAAGAUGUUUACACAUUGAGUUCUCCCCCAUUAACUUGUGAUUAAUACCAUGUGUGAAAUAGUUCUUUCAGAAUAUGUGGAUUCACACAUGGUGUGAAUGAAGUUGUUGGGAGAUAACUACACAGGUGGACAAAUCCUUACACUGGGAUGGUCCCAUCACACACAACAGGUGAAUAUGAAAUAUAAGAAAUCCCAAUGGAUCUCCCUUUGGAGAUCAUGGAUAGGUAACAUAUGUGACAGCUGAGGAGGGAACAGAAUAGCUUUUUUAAUCAGAACAUGCCAACAUUUGGCAUUUUUGUCCCCCAGCAGUUACAUGGGACCAGUUGGGAAAUAGAAAAUUUAAUUUUCUUAAUGAUAUCUGCCAAUAUUUCAUGCCUUCUGGAGAUGCGUCAUCAUAUGUUAACACAAUAACUUCACACAAUAUGUAUGUUUGCUUUUAAAGACACAAUAAAAGCUUUUGGCUUUUCCUUAUUUCA